rnacentral:rRNA from 1 species
CAGCAGCCACGGGAAUACAGAGGGUGCGAGCGUUAAUCGGAUUUACUGGGCGUAAAGCGUGCGUAGGCGGCUUCUUAAGUCGGAUGUGAAAUCCCUGAGCUUAACUUAGGAAUUGCAUUCGAUACUGGGAAGCUAGAGUAUGGGAGAGGAUGGUAGAAUUUCAGGUGUAGCGGUGAAAUGCGUAGAGAUCUGGAGGAAUACCGAUGGCGAAGGCAGCCAUCUGGCCUAAUACUGACGCUGAGGUACGAAAGCAUGGGGAGCAAACAGGAUUAGAUACCCCCGUAGUCCCUGUCUCUUAUAC